AAUAGUGGACAAUGGGCGAAAGCCUGAUCCAGCCAUGCCGCGUGUGUGAAGAAGGUCUUCGGAUUGUAAAGCACGUUAUGUUGGGAGGAAGAGCUGUAAGCUAAUACCUUGCAAUUUUGACGUUACCGACAUACUACGCACAGGCUAACUUCGUGCCAGCAGCCGCGGUAAUACGAAGGGUUCAAGUGUUAAUCGGAAUUACUGGGCGUAAAGCGCGCGUAGGUGGUUCGUUAAGUUGGAAGUGAAAGCCCCGGGCUUAACCUGGGAAUUGCUUUCAAAACUGACGAGCUAGAGUACGGUAGAGGGUAGUGGAAUUUCCUGUGUAGCGGUGAAAUGCGUAGAUAUAGGAAGGAACAUCAGUGGCGAAGGCGACUACCUGGACUGAUACUGACACUGAGGUGCGAAAGCGUGGGGAGCAAACAGG
rnacentral:rRNA from 1 species